UGUUCAGAGUUGGGAAUCGAACCCACAGUGUUGCGCUUACCGGGCAGAUGCCAUGUUCACUAGGCUUCAUCCC
rnacentral:tRNA from 1 species